AAACCAUGCUGUGGAUACUUCUGCAAGUGGUCCUUGAAUGGUUCCCAUGUCUCAAACAAGGAUUCCAGCUCUAUCUAAACAAACGAUGAUAUUUCAUUAUGAAACU